UAGUAAACGUUAAAUGAAUUAACAAAAUAAAUUUGGAUAAAAAAUAUAACAGCAAAAAUUUAUUAAACAAACAAGUUACCAACAUUAUAACUGGAUUAUUACGUCAUUAAAUCAAAAUCCGCUGAGAUUUAAUAAAAAGUAGAAAAUCUAUAGAUUU